GGUUUUUCAAGCCAAGACUAUGGAGUUGACUGUGGGAUCUUCAUGCUGAUGAUAAUUUUUCUCUUCUCUUCUUGAGAUUCAUACAGAAGCUAAUUUAAGCUUCUAAAAAAUUGACAUUUUUAUUUUUUCUUCCAAAUAGUCUGCUCUGUACGUGGCACUGGAUGCACCAUUUGACUAUACUAUAUCAGACAUGCCCUACUUGCGUAAAUGGUGGUGCUUGCUGUUGAUGGAGAACUUUGAUCUCAGGAGCUCUGGCAAGCUAUUUGCACACUGGAGAGAGGAAGCCAAAGCUGUGCUUGAAGGACAACACGUGCCCAUUUUCAGACUGAAAAAGCGCACAUUCCAGGAAGUCAGUCAGGAGGAAGCAGUUGUUGAAGAUCUGCGUCCUGCUGUGCAGUGGGUUGUCCAAAAUAAGGCACUUUUCCGUGGACACGUAACAAUGCCAAAAUAUCUGUCCUUAAAUCAAGGGGACCAGCAGAAGGUCUUAAAAGACAUGUCAGAGGAAGAAGACACUGGAGCAAGGGACUUGUUCCUCUUUGUUUUUCAGUUUGCAGAGGACAUGGAGCUCUUUUUGAAAGCAUGUGCUUAUUCAAUUCAAUUCAAUUCAGUUUUAUUUAUAUAG
rnacentral:lncRNA from 1 species